ACCAGACUCCUACGGGAGGCAGCAGUGAGGAAUAUUGGUCAAUGGGCGGGAGCCUGAACCAGCCAAGUCGCGUGAGGGAAGACGGUCCUAUGGAUUGUAAACCUCUUUAGGCGGGGAGCAAUGCCGGGCACGCGUGUCCGGAGGGAGAGUACCCGCAGAAUAAGCAUCGGCUAACUCCGUGCCAGCAGCCGCGGUAAUACGGAGGAUGCGAGCGUUAUCCGGAUUUAUUGGGUUUAAAGGGUGCGUAGGCGGAUUUUUAAGUCAGCGGUAAAAUCGCGGGGCUCAACCUCGCUCCGCCGUUGAAACUGGCGUUCUUGAGUGGGCGAGAAGUAUGCGGAAUGCGUGGUGUAGCGGUGAAAUGCAUAGAUAUCACGCAGAACUCCGAUUGCGAAGGCAGCAUACCGGCGCCCUACUGACGCUGAGGCGCGAAAGUGCGGGGAUCGAACAGGAUUAGAUACCCCAGUA
rnacentral:rRNA from 1 species